GCGGACGUUGCCAAGUGGUUAAGGCAGUGGAUUGUGAUUCCUCUAUUCGCGGGUUCGAUUCCCGUCGUUCGCC
rnacentral:tRNA from 1 species